GAUGAACGCUGGCGGCGUGCCUAAUACAUGCAGGUCGAGCGAGCGGACGAGAAGCUUGCUUCUCUGAUGUUAGCGGCGGACGGGUGAGUAACACGUGGAUAACCUACCUAUAAGACUGGGAUAACUUCGGGAAACCGGAGCUAAUACCGGAUGAUAUUUUGAACCGCAUGGUUCAAAAGUGAAAGACGGUCUUGCUGUCACUUAUAGAUGGAUCCGCGCUGCAUUAGCUAGUUGGUAAGGUAACGGCUUACCAAGGCAACGAUGCAUAGCCGACCUGAGAGGGUGAUCGGCCACACUGGAACUGAGACACGGUCCAGACUCCUACGGGAGGCAGCAGUAGGGAAUCUUCCGCAAUGGGCGAAAGCCUGACGGAGCAACGCCGCGUGAGUGAUGAAGGUCUUCGGAUCGUAAAACUCUGUUAUUAGGGAAGAACAUAUGUGUAAGUAACUGUGCACAUCUUGACGGUACCUAAUCAGAAAGCCACGGCUAACUACGUG
rnacentral:rRNA from 1 species